GACGAACGCUGGCGGCGUGCUUAACACAUGCAAGUCGAACGAUGAACCCGGAGCUUGCUCCGGCGGAUUAGUGGCGAACGGGUGAGUAACACGUGAGUAACCUGCCCUUGACUCUGGGAUAACUGCUAGAAAUGGUAGCUAAUACCGGAUACGACCCUCGGUGGCAUCACCAGCGGGUGGAAAGAAUUUCGGUCAAGGAUGAACUCGCGGCCAAUCAGCUAGUUGGUGAGGUAACGGCUCACCAAGGCGACGACGGGUAGCCGGCCUGAGAGGGUGACCGGCCACAAUGGGACUGAGACACGGCCCAGACUCCUACGGGAGGCAGCAGUGAGGAAUAUUGCACAAUGGGCGCAAGCCUGAUGCAGCAACGCCGCGUGAGGGUUGACGGCCUUCGGGUUGUAAACCUCUUUCAGCACCGACGAAGCGCAAGUGACGGUAGGUGCAGAAGAAGGACCGGCCAACUACGUGCCAGCAGCCGCAGUAA
rnacentral:rRNA from 1 species